rnacentral:lncRNA from 1 species
CGUUGCCAAUGAGGGAUCUGUGUUUGAAUGGCAGGGCUUUGGGGAGACUGCUGGAAACAAGAGCCCAGGAGCCAAAUGGACACCAGAAGAGCAGUGGGCACACGUGCUCUCAUGACGCUGGACACCACAGCAAGCACCAGUGGAUGCUCAGCAGUGAGAGAGCGGGGGUGAAGAUGGCUCUUGCUUAUUUACCGAGCACUGGGUCUGACGCGCUGAUUUCGUUAAAUCCUCGUUCCCCGAAGGCGCCUGUUCGCCGGAACGCGACGCCCCAGAGGGCAGCAGCGCCCCCGCUGCCGGCAGGUAGGGCCCGUGGGUAGGGCCCCUGGGCAGGGCCAGCCCCGCGCCUCGGAGCCGGCCGGGGGCAGGGGCUCGCUGCGGGGGGCUCCGGGCACGGCCCCCCCUCGGCUGCCGCCCCGCGGGGCCCGAACAAAGGAGAAAUGGCUCAGCUCGGGGGCACCGAGGAGGAGACCCAAAGAGGGGGGGAGCUCCGAGGACGCCCCCCGCAGCACCUGGGGGGGCCCGGGCAUUGUCUCCGGCGGCCGGGGGCGGUGCGGGCCGGCCGGGGUGCCGCCCCCCCCGCCCCGUGGGCGGCCCGGCAGCGGCGGGGCGUUAAAUGGGGCGGGCGGCGGGGGGCGCUUCCCAUUGACAAAAGCGGGGCGGGGGCGGAGGAGCGA